rnacentral:rRNA from 1 species
UGGGGAAUUUUGCGCAAUGGGGGAAACCCUGACGCAGCAACGCCGCGUGGAGGAUGAAAUAUCUUGGUAUGUAAACUCCUUUCGAUGGGGAAGAUUAUGACGGUACCCAUAGAAGAAGCCCCGGCUAACUUCGUGCCAGCAGCCGCGGUAAUACGAGGGGGGCAAGCGUUGUUCGGAUUUAUUGGGCGUAAAGGGUGCGUAGGCGGUUUGGCAAGUCUUAUGUGAAAUCUUCGGGCUCAACCCGAAGUCUGCAUAAGAAACUGCCGGGCUUGAGUAUGGGAGAGGUGAGUGGAAUUUCCGGUGUAGCGGUGAAAUGCGUAGAUAUCGGAAGGAACACCUGUGGCGAAAGCGGCUCACUGGACCAUAACUGACGCUGAUGCACGAAAGCUAGGGGAGCAAACAGGAUUAGAUACCCCGUAGUCC